AUUCCAGCUCCAAUAGCGUAUGUUAAAGUUGUUGCAGUUAAAAAGCUCGUAGUUGAACUUUGGGCCCGGUUGGCCGGUCCGAUUUUUUCGUGUACUGGAUUUCCAACGGGGCCUUUCCUUCUGGCUAACCUUGAGUCCUUGUGGCUCUUGGCGAACCAGGACUUUUACUUUGAAAAAAUUAGAGUGUUCAAAGCAGGCGUAUUGCUCGAAUAUAUUAGCAUGGAAUAAUAGAAUAGGACGUUUGGUUCUAUUUUGUUGGUUUCUAGGACCAUCGUAAUGAUUAAUAGGGACGGUCGGGGGCAUCAGUAUUCAAUUGUCAGAGGUGAAAUUCUUGGAUUUAUUGAAGACUAACUACUGCGAAAGCAUUUGCCGAGGACGUUUUCAUCG
rnacentral:rRNA from 1 species